UGCAUUACGUAUUUCGCGGAGGCCACGACGGAGGUCACCGAACUGCUACGUACUUGGGGGAGACAUAUUAAUCGUCGCCGAACGAUUCACGUUAGGAUGGAGUUGCAGAGCAAUGUGGCUUCGUUCAACGAGAGGACAAGGACAAUUCUUCACCUUGUGUCCCGUAUGACGUAAGACACCAGAGAGGUUACGGAUUAUUGUAUAUUCAACUGUGCUGUCGCGUAAAAAA
rnacentral:lncRNA from 13 species